rnacentral:rRNA from 1 species
AUUCCAGCUCCAAUAGCGUAUAUUAAAGUUGUUGCAGUUAGAAAGCUCGUAGUUGGAUUUCUGGUGGGAGCGUUGGGUCGGCCCUAAGGGCUCGUACUCAAAUGUUUUCCGCCAUCCUUGGAGGGAUGUCGUCUGGCAUUAAGUUGUCGGGCUUCCGAUCUCCAUCGUUUACUGUGAAAAAAUUAGAGUGUUCAAAGCAGGCUUACGCCGUUGAAUACAUUAGCAUGGAAUAAUAAGAUAGGACCCUGGUACUAUUUUGUUGGUUUGCGUACCUAGGUAAUGAUUAAUAGGGACAGUUGGGGGUAUUCGUAUUCCGUUGUCAGAGGUGAAAUUCUUGGAUUUACGGAAGACGAACUACUGCGAAAGCAUUUACCAAGGAUGUUUUCAUUA